rnacentral:rRNA from 1 species
UACGGGGGGAGCAAGCGUUGUUCGGAUUUACUGGGCGUAAAGGGCGCGUAGGCGGCCUCUGCAAGUCGACUGUGAAAUCUCCGGGCUUAACCCGGAAAGGUCAACCGAUACUGCAGGGCUAGAGUGCGGAAGGGGCAACUGGAAUUCUCGGUGUAGCGGUGAAAUGCGUAGAUAUCGAGAGGAACACCUGCGGCGAAGGCGGGUUGCUGGGCCGACACUGACGCUGAUGCGCGAAAGCUAGGGGAGCGAACGGG